rnacentral:rRNA from 1 species
UUGUCCUUGUACGCCGGCUCAAUCCUACCGCGGUGCUCUUUACCGAGUGUCGAGGUAGGCCGACAAUGUUUACUUUGAACAAAUUAGAGUGCUUAAAGCAGGCUCUUGAAUCAGCCUGAAUAGUGGUGCAUGGAAUAAUGGAACAGGACCUUGGUUCUAUUUUGUUGGUUUUCGGAAUCCAAGGUAAUGAUCAAUAAGGACAGGCGGGGGCAUUCGUAUUGCGACGUUAGAGGUGAAAUUCUUGGAUCGUCGCAAGACGCACUAGAGCGAAAGCAUU